rnacentral:rRNA from 1 species
GACGAACGCUGGCGGCGUGCUUAACACAUGCAAGUCGAACGAAGAGCGAUGGAAGCUUGCUUCUAUCAAUCUUAGUGGCGAACGGGUGAGUAACGCGUAAUCAACCUGCCCUUCAGAGGGGGACAACAGUUGGAAACGACUGCUAAUACCGCAUACGAUCCAAUCUCGGCAUCGGGACUGGAUGAAAGGUGGCCUCUAUUUAUAAGCUAUCACUGAAGGAGGGGAUUGCGUCUGAUUAGCUAGUUGGAGGGGUAACGGCCCACCAAGGCGAUGAUCAGUAGCCGGUCUGAGAGGAUGAAAGGCCACAUUGGGACUGAGACACGGCCCAGACUCCUACGGGAGGCAGCAGUGGGGAAUCUUCCGCAAUGGACGAAAGUCUGACGGAGCAACGCCGCGUGAGUGAUGACGGCCUUCGGGUUGUAAAGCUCUGUUAAUCGGGACGAAUGGUUCUUGUGCGAAUAGUGCGAGGAUUUGACGGUACCGGAAUAGAAAGCCACGGCUAACUACGUG